UACGAAGGGGGCUAGCGUUGUUCGGAAUUACUGGGCGUAAAGCGCGCGCAGGCGGCUAUCCAAGUCAGUGGUGAAAGCCCGGAGCUCAACUCCGGAACUGCCAUUGAAACUGUUUAGCUUGAGGAUGAGAGAGGUGAGUGGAAUUCCCAGUGUAGAGGUGAAAUUCGUAGAUAUUCGGAAGAACACCAGUGGCGAAAGCGACUUACUGGACACAUAUUGACGCUGAGGUGCGAAAGCGUGGGGAGCAAACAGG
rnacentral:rRNA from 1 species